rnacentral:rRNA from 1 species
ACGCUGGCGGCAGGCCUAACACAUGCAAGUCGAGCGGCAGCACGGGUACUUGUACCUGGUGGCGAGCGGCGGACGGGUGAGUAAUGCCUAGGAAUCUGCCUGGUAGUGGGGGAUAACGCUCGGAAACGGACGCUAAUACCGCAUACGUCCUACGGGAGAAAGCAGGGGACCUUCGGGCCUUGCGCUAUCAGAUGAGCCUAGGUCGGAUUAGCUAGUUGGUGAGGUAAUGGCUCACCAAGGCGACGAUCCGUAACUGGUCUGAGAGGAUGAUCAGUCACACUGGAACUGAGACACGGUCCAGACUCCUACGGGAGGCAGCAGUGGGGAAUAUUGGACAAUGGGCGAAAGCCUGAUCCAGCCAUGCCGCGUGUGUGAAGAAGGUCUUCGGAUUGUAAAGCACUUUAAGUUGGGAGGAAGGGCAGUUACCUAAUACGUAAUUGUUUUGACGUUACCGACAGAAUAG